AACUGUCAAAAAAUUGUCAGAGGAGUGCGUGAUUUUCUUCUUCGUGCGAAAAAAGGCAAUUUUCCAGCAAAAUCAUGAUUUCCUCGCGACUUUUGGGUGUUGUGGCCAGGAAUGCCAUUCAGCAGCGAUCAAUUUCCGUCGUGGCAGGACCCCCACGUGUCAGGAUGUCCAAGGCAGAACAUUUCAUCCUCACCUCCAUCCUCAUGGGGAGCCUCGUGACCAUUCCCGGCUGGGUUUUGGUGCACAUCAGAGAGUACCGAGGAAUUAAGUAAAAUCAAAGAUUAGGAAGGAAUAUUAGCGGCUUGAAGGGAGUUUCCGGAGGAUGAGCUUUCUGUAGUCUCCCUGUAAAUGUCGAGAGUAAUAAAAUUCAUGUAAAUGUGUAAGGAAAA